GACGAACGCUGGCGGCGUGCUUAACACAUGCAAGUCGAACGCGCCUGUCCUCUGGGUUUCUGGGGGGUGGGUGAGUGGCGAACGGGUGAGUAACACGUGAGUAACCUGCCCCCUUCUUCGGGAUAACGGUCUGAAAGGGCUGCUAAUACCGGGUAUUCACUGGUCUCCGCAUGGGGUCUGGUGGAAAGGUUUUUUUCUGGUGGGGGAUGGGCUCGCGGCCUAUCAGCUUGUUGGUGGGGUGAUGGCCCACCAAGGCUUUGACGGGUAGCCGGCCUGAGAGGGUGAACGGUCACAUUGGGACGGAGAUACGGCCCAGACGCGUACGGGGGGCAGCAGUGGGGAAUAUGGCACAAUGGGCGCAAGCCUGAUGCAGCGACGCCGCGGGAGGGAUGGAGGCCGUCGGGUUGUGAACCUCUUUCGCCCGUGGUCAAGCCGCGACGUGGGUCGUGGUGAGGGUAGUGGGUAAAGAAGCGCCGGCUAACUACGUG
rnacentral:rRNA from 1 species